GACGAACGCUGGCGGCGUGCCUAAUACAUGCAAGUCGAACGCAGUGGGGACGGGUGAGUAACACGUGGGUAACCUCCCAUCAGAGGGGAUAAAACUUGGAAACAGGUGCUAAACCGAUACUGAUGGAUGGACCCGCGUUGCAUUAGCUAGUUGGUGAGGUAACGGCUCACCAAGGCCACGAUGCAUAGCCGACCUGAGAGGAUGAGCAGCCACACGGGGACUGAGACACGGCCCAGACUCCUACGGGAGGCAGCAGUAGGGAAUAUUCGGCAAUGGGCGAAAGUCUGAUGGAGCAAUGCCGCGUGAAUGAAGAAGGCUUUCGGGUCGUAAAGCACUGUUGGUAGGGAGGCGGUAUCUAACGAGAAAGCAACGGCUAACUACGUGCCAGCAGCCGCGGUAAUUC
rnacentral:rRNA from 1 species